rnacentral:rRNA from 1 species
GACGAACGCUGGCGGCGUGCUUAACACAUGCAAGUCGAACGGAAAGGCCUGCUUUCCCUUGUGGAUUGCGGGUACUCGAGUGGCGAACGGGUGAGUAACACGUGAGUGAUCUGCCCCCAACUUGGGUAUAAGCCUGGGAAACUGGGUCUAAUUCCCGAUAGGACUGCAGGGUGGUGCCUGUGGUGGAAAACGAUUUUCUAGUGGUUGGGGAUGAGCUCGCGGCCCAUCAGCUUGUUGGUGGGGUAAUGGCCUACCAAGGCGGCGACGGGUAGCCGGCCUGAGAGGGUGGACGGCCACAUUGGGACUGAGAUACGGCCCAGACUCCUACGGGAGGCAGCAGUGGGGAAUAGUGCACAAUGGGCGGAAGCCUGAUGCAGCGACGCCGCGUGGGGGAUGACGGCCUUCGGGUUGUAAACUCCUUUCGACCGCGAGGAAGCCACCUGGUUGGAAGGGUGGUGACGGUAGUGGUAGAAGAAGCACCGGCUAACUACGUG